ACAUGCUUUAAUGUGGAGGGAGCAUAAGUUGUUAUUAUGAUAAUUUUAAUAACACUUUUCAUGUACUACAUUUUGGUUGACAUUUAAUCCUAAUUGAGAAAAGUCUAAAAUUAAUCUUUGUAAGAAACAAGACCAGAGUGGCUAAUCAGGUUUGGAAGUGGGACUAAUUGUACCAUAAUCAGAUUGAUGGACUGUUAAAUAUCUGAUGUGAAAGCCAUGUCAUGAAAUGAUAAGGAAGAAUCUGUGCAGAAGUCCCUCUGAAUUUUCCCCUUGUCCUUUAUUUUGCAGUUUGUUCAAAAGGCUUAUUACCUCGGCUUCAAAGCACAGAUCCAAGAUCUCUACCAGCUGUUUACUUUUAUUUUUUAAUUAUGUCAGCUUUCCUAAGAGAGGUGCGAGUCUCUGCCUUGAAAAUGCUAGAUGAGAGUCUGGCAAAGAUGCAAGCGGAGAAUCCCAGCAAACAUGUGGAGUCUCCAAUGCUGAUCUUGCUGGCUGACCUUGACUCCCUCGUUUCCAGGUUCCCUGCACAGACUGCUAGGCCCACCUUCCACACUGCCCUUCUGGCCUCACACUCAUGCCUUAACCCCAAGGACAGGUUGACAAAGGAACCUCAUCGGCAAACAUCUCUGUGGGAGAGGGGAUGACCCAAAAUGACCAGGGAGACUUCAGCUCACACCGGAAGCUCUGGCUGGGGAAUUGGAGACCAUCAGUUCUGGCGAAACCCUCCUCACCAGUGCAAUGUCCAGGCGCCUAUUUUCUUCAUGGGAUUUAAUAAUGUCACUGGGGUCUUUAAACAGUGUGUUUGCCACAGUCAGUGGAACACAUAUCUAUUAUAAAAAAUAAAAAUCACAGAAGCAGAUAAAGUAAAAAGUGAAAGUUUUCAUUCACCUUCCCUUACCCCCAUCCUGGACUUCAAUAUAGACACUGCUGACAUUGGAAAUGAGUCCUUUCAGGCCUUUUCCUCUGCAGUAUGAGUAAAGAUCAUUUAGGCCUUGAGUGCUGAGUCACUGUAUCCACAGAUGUGGAAUUUAGAAGCUUAGACCACCAGAAUAUGCCAUUGCGUUAUCAAUCCCAAGGCCUCUCGAUGUUGGAGGCUCAGUUCUUUUCCUUUUUGCACUUCUCUAUCCUAUUUAGAAAUGUAAAGUCGUAAUGAAUAUGUCUAAAGAGAAUCUUUGCUCACCCGGAAUUGCAUACACAUCAAAAUUCAUAGUAUUUAAUGCUUCCCAUUCCUCUUCCACCAUCCCAUCUGGGUCUGCGGAGCCCUCGGUUGAAAUGAACACUUAGCUAGACUUGUUCAAGGAAGCCUCCAAGCUUCUAGUUUCAGCCUGCCUUAUAUGUGACAUGUGUACUUCUGGGUGCCUAGAAAACAAUCCUAACUUAUGUAUGUUAUUAAAAGGCAGCAAUCUUUCCCACGCUCCAAAUCCCUAAAACUUCUUGUGCAAUAACUGUGUUGAGAACUUCCUGGUUUGGUUGCUUCAGGGUGGAAGUGACAAUAACCUGGGUUCUGCACCUUUGGUGGGUCACGCACACAUGCAGCCUACAUUGAAUGAAGGUCCCCCAGGAGUGGCCUUUUUUCCUUAUCAAGAGAUGGACUUAGCAUUUCCUCUUUUCCAAGGACCAUACACGCUGUGUCUCUCAGUUCUAGUAUCUUAGCUGAAAAGAGAAGCUUGUUAGACUUGGGGUGACCAUCCUA
rnacentral:lncRNA from 1 species